rnacentral:lncRNA from 1 species
AUUAGCUACUGUGACCCCUGUAGGUUAGGGAGCCUGAAGCCAGCUCUUUACCUGGUGUUUAGACUCAGCAGAAUUUGGAGUCAAUGGGACCAAAUGGUUGUGAAAUUAAGAUUUGAAGUGUGCAUCUUAUUUUAUCACCAUCUGCCCAACAAAACUUCAGAAAAUGCCUUUGAAGCACAAAAAUGUAAUCGUUUAUGUGAAAUCUCUGAGUUGCAUUUAGAUGCCCAUUGCAGCAAGGUGGCUCUCUCACAGAUUCCACACCUUAGCCUAAGAUACCAGACAGCAGGACAGAGAGAAAAGUCCUUCCUGGUGUGCAAACUUCCUUACACUGGACCUCGCCUCUCAGGUGUGUGAUUGGUAGGCCAAAUCCCGAUAGCCAAUCGGUGUUGGGUGCUUUGUCUGCUCUACUGGGAGUCCAGUGGUACAAUGGAUUCUGGCAAAAUGCUGCCAUCUUGGCCCUCGCUGGGCUGCUUUCUAGGAUAUUCAUAGAGAAAGGGCCGUCCAGAUCCAGUAUCCUAAAAUCCUGAGAGGAGAAUAUAAGUUAGUGUGUCUCACUAUAACUAUCUCUAUGAUCGGUCACAUUACUAUCUAACAGUUACCAAAUACUAUAUGCCUAAUACUGGUAAGCAUUUUAUACACACCAUUGGAUUGAAUCCUCUCAAAAUCCUCAAAAAGGAAGUUAUUAAUACCUCCAUAGGCAAGGAGCCCAGAACCCAGAGAGGUCAGGCAGUCUAGUUAUAGAUGCCUGCUUUGUUUAGAAGUGAACAAGAGCAUCAAAUUAUUAAUGUGCCCUGGUUAUUAAUGCGCCCUGGUUACCUGCUGGAUGGAACAUCAAGGUGGACUUUUGGCAGUUGCAUACACCCAGAGGUAUUUUGGCUAUUCACGGAUUAAUUUCACACGAAGUGUUUCAGAGACAUGUGUAGGGGAAGUCCGGGUUCAGGGGGCCUAAGAUUCAAACUCUAGCUUAGCUACGUCUGACCUCCCUAAGCACUAACUUACUAUCAAAAGAAUGAGCAGUAAAAGAAUGGUGUUUACUGCCUGCCUUUAUCAGGCAGUGAACGUGCAGCGGGCAACGAAUGCUUGAUAAGUGUGUGUCAGUGUGAAGUCCCAUGUACCAGCCGCUGUCCCCACUGCAAAAGCAGCAGAGCGCUCAGACAUCAUCAGCUGAUUUACCAGCAGCAGAUUUCUUCUUCUAGUCCCAUCCCUGAAGAAGCUUCCAGCCUAGGUACAUUGCAUGGGCUUUGUGCUCCAGGAGUUCCUACACAGCCCUCAACUUCAACACAGGCAAAGUGCUUACUGAUCCUCAUGUAUCUUACAGGGUCCCCUCUACCCACAAUACCUCAUUGCUGGAACUUCAAAUCUUCCUGAAUAAAAGCUUGCCCGUGGUUUAAUUA